rnacentral:rRNA from 1 species
CAGUCGCCGCGGUAAUACGAAGGGUGCAAGCGUUACUCGGAAUUACUGGGCGUAAAGCGUGCGUAGGUGGUGGUUUAAGUCCGUUGUGAAAGCCCUGGGCUCAACCAGGGAAUUGCAGUGGAUACUGGAUCACUAGAGUGUGGUAGAGGAUAGUGGAAUUUCCGGUGUAGCAGUGAAGUGCGUAGAGAUCGGAAGGAACAUCUGUGGCGAAGGCGACUAUCUGGGCCAACACUGACACUGAGGCACGAGAGCGUGGGGAGCAAACAGGAUUAGAUACCCGAGUAGUCCCUGUCUCUUAUAC